GCGAGGGUGGUGGAAUUGGCAGACACGCAGGUUUGAGGGACCUGUAGCAUAAAAGCUGUGUGGGUUCGAGUCCCAUCUCUCGCA
rnacentral:tRNA from 2 species